GUUGGGUAUAGCCGCGAGAAAUCGCGGGUAAUCCCCAGCGACGCAAGAGGUCGGCAUCGACGUCUUGCCAAAGGCUCGCCGCCGUGGGACGAGCCGUCGUGGUAUUAGGUCGUUGGCGGGGUAACGGCCCACCAAGCCUGCGAUGCCUACCGGGCGUGCGAGCGUGGCCCGGCACACUGGGACUGAGACACUGCCCAGACUCCUACGGGAGGCUGCAGUCGAGAAUCUUCGGCAAUGGGCGCAAGCCUGACCGAGCGACGCCGCGUGGAGGACGAAGGCCUUCGGGUUGUAAACUCCUGUCGAGGGGAAGGAAGGGGCCGAAAGGCCCUUGACCGCUCCCUGGAGGAAGCACGGGCUAAGUUCGUGCCAGCAGCCGCGGUAAGACGAACCGUGCGAACGUUAUUCGGAAUCACUGGGCUUAAAGCGCGUGUAGGCGGGGCGGUGCGUCGGCCGUUGAAAUCCCCCGGCUCAACCGGGGAAGUGGCGCCGAUACGACCGGCCUGGAGCGACGUAGGGGGAACUGGAACUUCCGGUGGAGCGGUGAAAUGCGUUGAGAUCGGAAGGAACGCCCGUGGCGAAAGCGAGUUCCUGGACGUC
rnacentral:rRNA from 1 species